UAGUUUCCCCUUAUGUUUAAUUACAUUUUCUGUUUUAUGUGAAGUUCCAACAUUAUCUUCUGGAAUAUUCGUUUUAUAUGUUUAUAAACCAUUAUAAACAAUCUUCGACUUUUGCUAUGCACAUUGAGGAAUACUGUAAUUUCUAAUGAUUUAUUACUUAAGAGAGAGGAACCAUGUACUGUUAAAAUAAAUUACAAGAUCAUGUACAUUUAAGUAUAUUUUUAUAAGAGCUUGUUGGUGAGGAGAGAAGAGAGGAAUCAACAAUCAAAUGAACAUGGAAAGCGGCCGCUGUCAAAGAUUUUGAUAUUUUAGAGUAGAAUCAUUAUUACAAACAUAAGCAUCAUGGAAUUGUGCAGUCAAGUGAGAGUGAAUACAAAGGGACAGUAAAUGUGCCCUUCUGAGACAUGACAGUGCCGCAUUGAAGUUCUGGACUUUGUCUUGGUGCAGUUGGUGGUGUCGACAAUGUUGUUGGAACAAAUAGAAUAAAGAGUUGCAGCA